GUGGGGAAUCUUGCGCAAUGGGCGAAAGCCUGACGCAGCCAUGCCGCGUGAAUGAUGAAGGUCUUAGGAUUGUAAAAUUCUUUCACCGGGGACGAUAAUGACGGUACCCGGAGAAGAAGCUCCGGCUAACUUCGUGCCAGCAGCCGCGGUAAUACGAAGGGGGCUAGCGUUGCUCGGAAUUACUGGGCGUAAAGGGCGCGUAGGCGGACAGCUUAGUCAGAGGUGAAAGCCCAGGGCUCAACCUUGGAAUUGCCUUUGAUACUGGCUGUCUUGAGUUUGGGAGAGGUGAGUGGAACUCCGAGUGUAGAUGUGAAAUUCGUAGAUAUUCGGAAGAACACCAGUGGCGAAGGCGACUCACUGGCCCAAUACUGACGCUGAGGCGCGAAAGCGUGGGGAGCAAACAGGAUUAGAAACCCUAGUAGUCC
rnacentral:rRNA from 1 species